rnacentral:rRNA from 1 species
CAGCCGCCACGGGAAAACCGAGGGUGCAAGCGUUAAUCGGAAUUACUGGGCGUAAAGCGCGCGUAGGUGGUUUGUUAAGUUGGAUGUGAAAGCCCCGGGCUCAACCUGGGAACUGCAUCCAAAACUGGCAAGCUAGAGUACGGUAGAGGGUGGUGGAAUUUCCUGUGUAGCGGUGAAAUGCGUAGAUAUAGGAAGGAACACCAGUGGCGAAGGCGACCACCUGGACUGAUACUGACACUGAGGUGCGAAAGCGUGGGGAGCAAACAGGAUUAGAUACCCGCGUAGUUCCUGUCUCUUAUAA